rnacentral:rRNA from 1 species
UACAUGUGAGGCAAGCGUUGUUCGGAAUUACUGGGCAUAAAGGGUGCGUAGGCGGUUUGUUAAGUCACAGGUGAAAGUUUUCGGCCCAACCGGAAAAUUGCCUGCGAUACUGGCGAACUUGAGUGCGUGAGGGGUUGGGGGAACGAGCAGUGUAGCGGUGAAAUGCGUAGAUAUUGCUCGGAAGGCCGGAGCCGAAGGGGCCCAACUGGUGCGCAACUGACGCUGAUGCACGAAAGCGUGGGGAGCAAACAGG